rnacentral:rRNA from 1 species
AACGUACGCUGGCGGCACGCCUAACACAUGCAAGUUCGAACGAAAUAACCAUACUUAGUGGCCAGAAGGGUGAGUAACAUGUAGGUAUCUGCCCUUUGGCCUGGAAUAACACGAGGAAACUUGUGCUAAUACCGGAUAAGUCUUUACGGAGAAAGCUUUAUGCACCAUUGGAUGAGCCUGCACUUGAUUAGUUUGUUGGUGGGGUAAUGGCCUACCAAGACUGUGAUCAAUAGCUGAUUUGAGAGGAUGAUCAGCCACAUUGGGACUGAGACACGGCCCAAACUCCUACGGGAGGCAGCAGUGGGGAAUCUUGCACAAUGGAGGAAACUCUGAUGCAGCGAUGCCGCGUGAGUGAAGAAGGCCCUUGGGUUGUAAAGCUCUUUCGUCGGGGAAGAAAAUGACUGUACCCGAAUAAGAAGGUCCGGCUAACUUCGUGCCAGCAGCCGCGGUAAUACGAAGGGACCUAGCGUAGUUCGGAAUUACUGGGCUUAAAGAGUUCGUAGGUGGUUGAAAAAGUUAGUGGUGAAAUCCCAGAGCUUAACUCUGGAACUGCCAUUAAAACUUUUCAGCUAGAGUAUGAUAGAGGAAAGCAGAAUUUCUAGUGUAGAGGUGAAAUUCGUAGAUAUUAGAAAGAAUACCAAUUGCGAAGGCAGCUUUCUGGAUCAUUACUGACACUGAGGAACGGAAGCAUGGGUAGCGAAGAGGAUUAGAUACCCUCGUAGUCCAUGCCGUAAACGAUGUGUGUUAGACGUUGGAAAUUUAUUUUCAGUGUCGCAGGGAAACCGAUAAACACACCGCCUGGGGAGUACGACCGCAAGGUUAAAACUCAAAUGAAUUGACGGGGACCCGCACAAGUAGUGGAGCAUGUGGUUUAAUUCGAAGAUACGCGCAGAACCUUACCAACACUUGACAUGUUCGUCGCGACUCUAAGAGAUUAGAGUUUUCGGUUCGGCCGGACGAAACACAGGUGCUGCAUGGCUGUCGUCAGCUCGUGUCGUGAGAUGUUGGGUUAAGUCCCGCAACGAGCGCAACCCUCACUUUUAGUUGCCAUCAUUAAGUUGGGCACUCUGAAAGAACUGCCAGUGAUAAGCUGGAGGAAGGUGGGGAUGACGUCAAGUCCUCAUGGCCCUUACGUGUUGGGCUACACACGUGCUACAAUGGUAUCUACAACAGGAAGCAAGACUGCGAAGUUAAGCAAAUCCCUAAAAGAUACCUCAGUUCGGAUUGCACUCUGCAACUCGAGUGCAUGAAGCUGGAAUUACUAGUAAUCGUGGAUCAGCGUGCCACGGUGAAUGCGUUCCCGGGUCU